CGGACAUAAUAACACUAAAAGGUAGAUUAUUGGUGGGUCUAAUCAUUUUUUCUUGCAUAUACCUUCACCGUACAGGGCAUGCAGGCAGCCUGAUAUUAUGAAGUAAAUAAUGCAACCAGAGGUGGUUCUUUUUUCUUUUUUUUGGCAGAACCUUCCCAAACCAGUCUGACCUAGCACCUAGCAAUGUUCUUGGCUUUGCUCAGCAACAGCUUGGGAACCCAAAUCUCCUUCUGAACCCAGAUGGCAGUGUGUAGCCAUAUGUCAACAACAUAUGCCACCCUGAUUUCUUUUUUUAAAAAAAAUAAUCACAUCAAUUCUGCCAGCUACACAAAUGGAUCUUAACCCAUUGUGCAGCAAAGAAGUCUCUUCCCUGCCAAUCCCAUUUGUCCUCCAUGGACAUGUGUCUGCCCAGGCAGCAUCACUGAAAAAGUGUAAUUAUAGAUGCUAUAGCAACAUUUUUUUUUUUUACCAGGCAUUGUGUUUCAGAUCCAUUUGUCGGUCUUCUGUUGGCCUUGAUGUUGUGGGGGGGAGAGAGAAAACUGGGGAGAAAGUUUAUCUAUAUUUGAGUUUUUGAUUAGAAGAAGCAAAUGGGCUUUUAAUUUCUUCUUAGAAUCUGUUCACUUUCAAACCAGUUGAACUGAAUCUUUUAGAAUGAACCAUUCUCAAAUACAGAGCUGCAGGGAUUGCUUUUCCAGUCUCCAUACUGUUAAUUGCUUUUGCUAGUAAUCCACAGCCAUUCAAACAGAACGACAAAAUAAAUAUAAAUUUGCUGUCCAAGUCAGUAUUUCCAUAGUAAAUAUCCCAGGUACAAUAAUCAAAACUAGCUUCUCCUAAUAUUAAUGGUACAGUUCAUGGUUAAAUUGAAAUAGCCUUUCCAAACAGCAGCCUAUUUUGGAUUAAGCAAAACAAGGAAGGCUGCACUGUAUCCUUAUCGUCAACUGAAGCUUCAGUUUUCAGAACUGAUGUUCCAUUCCAACAUGUUAAGCCGCACAUUUUCUAGAUUUGUCCAGACAUAAAAUCCACAGUGAAGUUACAUAUGGGUUUAUUCACUAAUAUGAUGAGAUCCAUAUGCAACAAAUUGUAAAAAAAAAAAAAUCGAGUGUCUGAUGGAUUAGAACAGGCAUUUUCAAGCCAAUUUUUUUCAAAUUUUGGAUGAGAACCACUUUAUAGUAAAUGCAGGAAAGAAGAACCCUAUAUCUGUGAUAUUU